rnacentral:rRNA from 1 species
CCCUUAGAUGUUCUGGGCUGCACGCGUGCUACACUGAUGCAUUCAGCAAGUAUACUUCCUUUGCCGAGAGGCCUGGGCAAUCUUGUAAACAUGCAUCGUGAUAGGGAUAGAUUUUUGCAAUUAUUAAUCUUUAACGAGGAAUUCCUAGUAAACGCAGAUCAUCAAUCUGCAUUGAUUACGUCCCUGCCCUUUGUACACACCGCCCGUCGCACCUACCGAUUGAAUGGUCCGGUGAAGCCUCGGGAUUAUGAACAAUGCCUUUGUUGGCAUUGUUUGUGAGAACUUGUCUAAACCUUAUCAUUUAGAGGAAGGUGAAGUCGUANCA